AUUGAACGCUGGCGGCAGGCCUAACACAUGCAAGUCGAGCGGAUGAAGGGAGCUUGCUCCUGGAUUCAGCGGCGGACGGGUGAGUAAUGCCUAGGAAUCUGCCUGGUAGUGGGGGAUAACGUCCGGAAACGGGCGCUAAUACCGCAUACGUCCUGAGGGAGAAAGUGGGGGAUCUUCGGACCUCACGCUAUCAGAUGAGCCUAGGUCGGAUUAGCUAGUUGGUGGGGUAAAGGCCUACCAAGGCGACGAUCCGUAACUGGUCUGAGAGGAUGAUCAGUCAAACUGGAACUGAGACAAGGUCCAGAAUCCCUAGGGAGGCAGCAGUGGGGAAUAUUGGACAAUGGGCGAAAGCCUGAUCCAGCCAUGCCGCGUGUGUGAAGAAGGUCUUCGGAUUGUAAAGCACUUUAAGUUGGGAGGAAGGGCAGUAAGUUAAUACCUUGCUGUUUUGACGUUACCAACAGAAUAAGCACCGGCUAACUUCGUG
rnacentral:rRNA from 1 species